GUUUAUGAGCUGAAUGAAGUGGCAGCUGCAAAGGGAUGUCUGGGUCGUUUCCCUGGGGGAGAAAUGGUGGGAAUUAUAAAGAAAAUCAUUAACUUAGAUGCGGGAACUGAUUAACUAAGGAAGUUAGGAGUUGUUAUGAGACUUUUUCUUUUCUCACUCUGAAAUCAAAGUGAUUUCAAUUUCAAGGUACAAAAAAUCAAAAUUUGAAUUUUUGUACUAAGUGUAGAAUAAGAAGCUUUG
rnacentral:lncRNA from 1 species